rnacentral:tRNA from 1 species
AAUUAUGCGUUUAUCAGUUAAAUCCUAAAUUAUUAAAUUUUAAUCAAAAUUAAUUUUUUAAAUGUAAAUC